AGGGUUUGAUUAUGGCUCAGGAUGAACGCUGGCGGCGUGCUUAACACAUGCAAGUCGAACGAGGGUGAUAGCAAUAUUACCCGAGUGGCGGACGGGUGAGUAACGCGUGAACAAUCUGCCUAUGUCAGGGGAAUAACACUAAGAAAUUGGUGCUAAUACCGCAUAAGACCACGAGGAGGCAUCUUCUUGGGGUAAAAGAUUUAUCGGACAUAGAUGAGUUCGCGUCCCAUUAGGUAGUUGGUGAGGUAACGGCUCACCAAGCCGACGAUGGGUAGCCGACCUGAGAGGGUGAUCGGCCACAUUGGAACUGAGAGACGGUCCAG
rnacentral:rRNA from 1 species